AUUGGUAUGAGCUUUCGUGUGCAUGCACACUUCUUCAGAUACCCUUCAGAUACCUCUUCAGAUAUUCAGGGUAUCUGAAGAAGUGUGCAUGCACACGAAAGCUCAUACCAAU